CUGCAGAGGGACAGCAAUGUUUAGGCUGUUACUGAAUCUCUGUGUAUGUAAGAAAUUCCAGGCUGAAUGAUUUCUGUUAGGUAUUGGACUUUCUGGAUAUAUAUCUAUGUCAAUGAGAGGUGCAAAGGCCAAGCAUGUCCCAGAGCAAAGCAUCCAGAAAUUCAUAUAAUGUAUUUCAUUAUGCCUAUGCAGAACUGCCUUGACUUACACAAACGUAAUCAGAGGGGCAGGAAGGUGUUAUAUUCAAAAAGCUGAGCACAUGUGUUUUCAUGAGAUCAGGAUAUUAAAUUACAAAAGAGUGAUGGUACAGAGGUUGUGUCUUCUGCUCAAGUGUAAAAUCAAUGUGUGCCCCAAUGGCAUCCUAAGACUGGUACUCCAACAAUGGAGGUUGCAGUUGGAAUCAUGAGAAAAGCCAUAAAGGGAGGAAAGCUUGAAGACUACGAUAUUCUCAUUUCUCAAAGUACCCUGUCUGUGUUUAACAGCAACUAUCCCUAACAAAGUGGGCUGAUGAUAAGGAUUUAAACAACCCCGGCCUUGAGAAUCUUGUAAUGUCACUCAUGUUUGCUUUGUGUACAGAGGAUUUAAAAGUCUAGUCAGUAGCCUUGAAUUUUAUUCAAAAUAAGAUACAGUAAUGACAGCUGGAGGCUGUAAAUACAACUGCGUUGUUUAUCUUAAAGUUUGCAGAUCCAAGCAAUGAGUUAUUCUCCUUUAUUGUGACUGACCUUAAAACCCAACAGUAUAGAGGCACAAAACUGAGCUUUCCUCACCACAUUUCUAUGAGACAAGUCAGUGACAGCUUUGACAGCAUGUUUCAAUACAUAUAUUACCUGAAGGCGAGUUCGGCACUACAGUUAUGUAAUUUUUACUAUCCGAUCAUCUCUAGUUCCCCUUUAUACUACUGUCACCUCCCAGGGAUGCCUGAGAACAAAAUCAGUUGCACGAGGUACAUACACAACAGGUUAGUAGAUUUGGGGUUUAACUUAGGUUCAAAGCAUGGUCCUUCAACAGACCUUUUAAUCUGACUAGGUAGCUUGCUCAACAGAGAAUGUCCAUCACAGACAUAAAAUACAACAUCUGGAAAUGAGCACACUGUGAACUAGUGUUACCUCAAAUUAAGGACUCCUACAAACCCGAAGAAGGGAAGAGCCAUUCUGGGGUCCAAAGAAAAAAGGGAGGGUGAACCAGUUAUCCUCCCUGCCCCAUGUGGGAUGGAGACUCGGACAGGCCCACGAGGCCCCAUCAGAGCCGAGGUUCCCAGGGGUCUACAGGCUCCUGAGUGCAAAGCCAGGAGGCGUCUUGCAGCCCUGUAGGGCUGCCACAUUCAUGGCUUUGCAGGUCAUUUGUGUGGAGAGGCUGCAAGGUAACCACAGCCAGACAGUGCUUGAGCUCGUGGUUCAAAGGCAGUCUACCCUCAGAGACUAGAACAGGCAGGAAACCAAGCAGACUUCUGGUUUUGUGAACAACUGAAACUGAUUGACAUUUUCCUAUAAAAUUUCCAGUUAACUGGCAGAGCCAUAAACUAUGGUUUAAAAGAUAAAUAAAAGUCUUCAGGGAGAAAUACA
rnacentral:lncRNA from 1 species